rnacentral:rRNA from 1 species
CAGCAGCCGCGGGAAUACGAAGGGGGCUAGCGUUGUUCGGAAUUACUGGGCGUAAAGGGCGCGUAGGCGGCCAUUCAAGUUAGAGGUGAAAGCCCGGGGCUCAACCCCGGAAUUGCCUUUAAGACUGCCGAGCUAGUAGGUGAGAGAGGUGAGUGGAAUUCCGAGUGUAGAGGUGAAAUUCGUAGAUAUUCGGAAGAACACCAGUGGCGAAGGCGGCUCACUGGCUCAUUCUAGACGCUGAGGUGCGAAAGCGUGGGGAGCAAACAGGAUUAGAUACCCCCGUAGUCCCUGUCUCUUAUAC